UAUAUUUUUUUUCAAACCCACUACCAACAGAACGCUGAGAUCUCGAGGUGCUACAGUCCUACAGCAGCCCGCCCCUUUCCUGGCCGUCCGAUGCGCGCCUCCUUCCUGAUCGCAGUUGUCCGUCCGAGGGCGUCGCCCUCCUGCCCACCCAAGCCACAGGCCAAGCGGCGAAUCACCCCCAUCGCCGCCUCGUUCCUCCCCUCGACGCCUCGCCCGAUGCCUCCUUCCCAGCGCCGCCCCGCGUCGCCGUGCUCUACCUCCCACCAGAGCCCACCUCGCCGUCGGGCGAGAGCUCCGGCGGGAAACCUUGCUGUGCCACCCGCAGUUCGAAGCAGCAGCGGUGCUAGGGCUCUGGCGUCCUCGCUACCUCCCUUGAGCCCCGUCGCCUACCUUGAGGCCGGUCUGCUGAUCUGGAGCGACGAGGAGGUGGAUCAGGUCGACUCCUCCGCUUGCCCUUAACCACGACAUUGCCUCCGAUCAGAUAUCAUAUCCCAGCAGUUCAACCACCAUGACCAGUCCGGCAAUCCUUCCCGCUCCCUCUGAUAAGUCUUUUCUUCUUUCCCUAUCUCUAUUUCUCUCAUCUUUUUCUGUUUUCGUGUUCAAUUUCUUGCUGUUUUAAAUAUGCCAGGUCUGCUUGAGCUUCAUGCCGUCAGUUCAUCUGUUAAAGGCACUGCAGGAAGACGCCCAUACUACUCACAAUCGUGCAGUUGUUUUAGAAAUAGGUGAUGAUGUGCAGGCUACAUGAUUUGCGCAGCUGUUCUGUUCCAGUUGUGAGAGUAUACGAAUUUAUUUUUCGGUAUUUUUGGUUACCAUAUGAUAUGAAUUCCUCAAAUGAUGCCAAUGUUUCGUUCUUUGUACUAAACUUUGGUCCCUGUACUGUAUUUUUCUUCAGUGACGUAAUUAACCUUCAUUUUUUUGGUUCACGUCCAUGUGCUUGAAAAUCGGAACCAGCAUUUACUGAGGGACACAUGUGAGCCAUAAGAAUUCAGAACCGAAAGAAUAUGAUUGCACUGCUUGAGAAGAUGCCUAGGAUUUUUUGCUGCAGCAGCCAUUGUUCCCGUUCCUGUUAUGGAUCAGGUUCCAGGAGCCAUGACACAUUGGAAAUUUGAAGAACUUUGUGAAGAUUUAUGGGAGAAAACUCAAGCAUUUUACUUUAGGUUUUAAUCACUUAUGUCAUUUUGAUCAAAUAUGGCUGCAUUAUGUAAUACAUAAUGGUGACAGUAAGUCGUCACUCCUGAUGUUACCCUGAGCUGCCAUGAUUGGUUUUUUACCCGUUCUGAUCUGAGCUGAUGAUGUCCAAUGCUUAGUGUGUACAGUUCCAAGAAAUUAUAUCGUUCUGAAAAAUAAAAAGAGCAUGUGAAAGCAUGAAUUCUAUUUUGUAUUGAAA